ACCCCUAUGUGCACCACCGCGUGGGUCUUCCUUUGGCUCGUCCGAAGGGGGGCUUACGUUUUCACACAAACUUUGUAUGCAGUGUAGAAUGUACCUUUGUUUUGCGAUCACGCAAUUAAUACAACUUUCAACAACGGAUCUCUUGGCUCUCGCAUCGAUGAAGAACGCAGCGAAAUGCGAUACGUAAUGUGAAUUGCAGAAUUCAGUGAAUCAUCGAAUCUUUGAACGCACCUUGCGCCCCUUGGCAUUCCGAGGGGCACACCCGUUUGAGUGUCGUGAAAUUCUCAAAACCCUUUUCUUUUUGGGAGAAGGGUUUUGGACUUGGAGGCCUUUUGCUGGCUUUGCCUUGAAGCCAGCUCCUCCUAAAUGAAUUAGUGGGGUCCACUUUGCCGAUCCUUGACGUGAUAAGAUGUUUCUGCGUCUUGUGGUUUGACACUGUCACCCGCUUCUAAUCGUCUCAUUGACAAUUGAUGGUGUUCCGGUCACCACCUCUCUAUGGGGUGGUUGGCUUGACCCACAACAUGACCUUGACCUCAAAUCGGGUGAGACUACCCGCUGAACUUAAGCAUAUCAAUAAGCGGAGGAA
rnacentral:rRNA from 1 species